UGUGACUUUUUGUUAGAAUAAUACACUUAUUGGCAUUUGAUGCAAGUUUCCUAAAAUUUAUGUUGGUUGCAACUUGGGUUCUUAUUGUUGUUAAUUGUUCUGCUGAUAGGUAGCACUUUGAUUUUCUUGGAAGGAUUGCAAAAAUAUGUAUUUAACUUAAUGGAAUUCCCCGUGGGAUGUAAUGAUAGUGUUGGGCAGUUAGGGAAACAGCACUUUUGAAAUUUAAAAGGGGUAUGAACUAAAAUUUAAAGAAUUUUUUCUUUUAAAAAUUCUGUCAUACUCUACAUUGUUAUACUUAUCCCUUUUUCAUCGCAGGUGAAUUUUAGUUCUUUUAAACUUAAUCAUGUCACUUUAAUUUUCAAGUUUUGUUUUCCCUUUUAUCUGUUCUGUUAUUCGUAAGGGGGAGUGAAACUGAGGAAUUCUGUCGGUUUGAUCUACUUUUGGUUUUUUGGGUUGCUAUGGUUGAAUGGUUGGCCUUUGGUUCAACACCCUUAAAAAGGGGUUUUUAGCAAAUUUUUAAUUGUGUAGUUUUGGUAUUUGAUGUCCUCCACCGUAAGAAUUCUCAGUUUAUGCUCUAUUUGUAUUAACAUGAGACCUUUAUUAUUAUUAUUAUUUUAUUUUUUUUGGGAUUUAAUUAAAGUUUCUAGGUUAUCUCAAGCUUUGGUUUCAUGUUUAGUCUCUAUUUAUUUUGUAUUUUAGUUUGACCGAAUCUUCUUUAAUAGUAGCAUCUUGAUUUUUGAGGGGUUUUAUUUGAUUCUUUGUUUGGUUGCAGACCCCAGCUUCUUUUCCAAUUUCCUCCUUUAGUAACCCACGGAUUAUUUUCUGCUUUUUGUUAUGCACAGCGAAAGACCAAAUCUAUAUAGUUUAGAAGCUGUCUGCAAAUCCCAGCAAUAUCAAAGUGAAAAGGUAGAGCUAUUUAAGAUAGAAAUUAUGAGAAAAUUUUACUAAUGAUAGAAGAUUUUCUGUUGUGAUUAUUUAAUGCAAAUUGUUGGUAUGGGUUGCAGGGAAAAGAAAGCUAUGAGUAAUGGACAUAGACAUGAGUUAUUAAAACACUAAACAAUUGUAUCUUUUUGGUGGUUUGCUAUUGUACUUGCUACAUGCAAUGAGAAUUACUAUAGUUCACAAUCGAAUGAGUUUUACCAUAGUUAACAAAUGAGUUUCUUUUGGAACAUCUGACUCCUCCUGCCAACAGUUUGAAGCCAUGUCAUAUCAUGUACAACAAUGAAGAUGACAAUGGGAGAGAUAUUUUCCAAAGAUUAUAUUGAAAUUUUAUUGUUUAAUAGAUUGUGCUGAUUUUUUUUUCGACCCAAUUCUUUUUAUGUAAAUAAUUAUAUUAGAGGGUACUUGUGUCUGUUUUGUAUUCUAUAUUUGAUUGAAUUGUAGUUUAGAUGAAUCUUUGGGUUUGGAACA